UACGGAGGGUGCGAGCGUUGUUCGGAAUCACUGGGCGUAAAGCGCGUGUAGGCGGCCUGCUAAGUCUGAUGUGAAAGCCCGAGGCUCACCCUCGGAAGUGCAUUGGAAACUGGCAGACUGGAGUCCCGGAGAGGAGGGUGGAAUUCCUGGUGUAGCGGUGAAAUGCGUAGAUAUCUGGAGGAACACCGGUGGCGAAGGCGACAUCCUGGACCAAUACUGACGCUGAGUGAGCGAAAGCCAGGGGAGCAAACGGG
rnacentral:rRNA from 1 species